AACGAACGCUGGCGGCGUGCCUAACACAUGCAAGUCGAGCGCGAAUGGAGCAAUCCUAGUAGAGCGGCGCACGGGUGCGUAACACGUGGGCAAUCUGCCUGGGAGAUGAGGAUAACCAGUCGAAAGAUUGGCUAAUACUCGAUAAGCCCACGGGGACUUCGGUCCCUGAGGGAAAAGGUGGCCUCUGUAUACAAGCUAUCACUUCCAGAUGAGCCCGCGGCCCAUCAGCUAGUUGGCGGGGUAAUGGCCCACCAAGGCAACGACGGGGUAGCUGGUCUGAGAGGACGAUCAGCCACACUGGAACGUGAGACACGGUCCAGACUCCUACGGGAGGCAGCAGUGGGGUAAUUUUGCGCAAUGGGCGAAAGCCUGACGCAGCAACGCCGCGUGUGUGAUG
rnacentral:rRNA from 1 species